AUCGAACGCUGGCGGCAUGCCUUACACAUGCAAGUCGAACGGUAACAGGUCUUCGGAUGCUGACGAGUGGCGAACGGGUGAGUAAUACAUCGGAACGUGCCUAGUAGUGGGGGAUAACUACUCGAAAGAGUGGCUAAUACCGCAUGAGAUUUACGGAUGAAAGCAGGGGAUCGCAAGACCUUGUGCUACUAGAGCGGCCGAUGGCAGAUUAGGUAGUUGGUGGGAUAAAAGCUUACCAAGACGACGAUCUGUAGCUGGUCUGAGAGGACGAUCAGCCACACUGGGACUGAGACACGGCCCAGACUCCUACGGGAGGCAGCAGUGGGGAAUUUUGGACAAUGGGCGCAAGCCUGAUCCAGCAAUGCCGCGUGCAGGAUGAAGGCCUUCGGGUUGUAAACUGCUUUUGUACGGAACGAAAAGCCCUGGGUUAAUACCCUGGGGUCAUGACGGUACCGUAAGAAUAAGCACCGGCUAACUACGUGCCAGCCGCCGCGGUAACAC
rnacentral:rRNA from 1 species